UAUGCGUUUCCCAAAGUAUAUCUAAGUCC
rnacentral:piRNA from 1 species